AUAAGAAGCAAAUAUUGCAUUUAGUUUCGACCUAAAAAUUUGAUAAUUUUAAUUAUCCUUAUU
rnacentral:tRNA from 1 species